AGGGGCAGCGGGGUAGUGCUUGCACUACUGCCGGCGACCGGCGCACGGGUGAGUAACACGUAUGGAACCUGCCCGCAGCAGGGGGAUAAGCGGAAGAAAUUCCGUCUAAUACCGCGUAACAACGUUGGGAGGCAUCUCCCGAUGUUUAAAGAUUUAUCGGCUGCGGAUGGCCAUGCGGCGCAUUAGCUAGUCGGCGGGGUAACGGCCCACCGAGGCGACGAUGCGUAGGGGUUCUGAGAGGAAGGUCCCCCACACUGGUACUGAGACACGGACCAGACUCCUACGGGAGGCAGCAGUGAGGAAUAUUGGUCAAUGGCCGAGAGGCUGAACCAGCCAAGUCGCGUGAGGGAAGACGGCCCUACGGGUUGUAAACCUCUUUUGUCGGGGAGCAAAGAGAGCCACGUGUGGCUCAUUGAGAGUACCCGAAGAAAAAGCAUCGGCUAACUCCGUGCCAGCAGCCGCGGUAAUACGGAGGAUGCGAGCGUUAUCCGGAUUUAUUGGGUUUAAAGGGUGCGCAGGCGGAGGUGCAAGUCAGCGGUCAAAUUGCGGGGCUCAACCCCGUACUGCCGUUGAAACUGCAUCCCUUGAGUGCGCGAGAAGUAUGCGGAAUGCGUGGUGUAGCGGUGAAAUGCAUAGAUA
rnacentral:rRNA from 1 species